UAGGGCACACGCCAAGAGUGCUUCUCUUCUGGUAUUCAGGCCAGACGGUGAUAUUCCUGUGGUCACAGGCACGAGUUCCUGGAGGAGGGGCACUGGUCCUGAAAGCCGGGGCCCCACACUGAGCUCCACGGGCUCCCACUCAGUUCCACUCCGAGACGCAGCAUGGCAGAGAACUGGGAAGGUCCAGGAAUUGGGAGCAAGGUUGUCUGAGCUCAGGCCGGAGCCUCUGCAACAGAAGGUAAUGAUCAUACUCGCCUACCAGAGUCAUUGCCAAGAAAUGAGAACAGGCCCUGCACACAACUGGUGCAAUGUGCUGAAAACUGAGGCUGCGUCUGGCUACUUCAGCCCUGCCCACCUCACGCCCAUCUGCAGGAUCUGAUCCCCGGAAGAGCUCCAACAUCGCUGCCCCAGGACUUGCUGGCAGGCAGAUCCUCUCAGGAUGUGGUUGUGAAAGACGUGAACUCAACUAGCUUCUGUGGAGUACCUUUUGUAUGAAAUGCGUCCGCCAACACUAUCUCGUUGAGUCCUCCGAGAUGUGAUGGCUGACAUGCUGCAGCCCUCUUGAACCAUGCGGUGACCCUGGGAAUGGGAGCCUAUGCUAUGGAAGGUGCUGGAGAAAGCCAGAGCGGCUUGGGGUUCCUGAUAACUUCAUGAAGAUGCCGUGCCUGCCCAGAACUGCAUCUUUCUGGACUCUUUUGACACCAGAGAACGAGCCCUUGUUUCUGUUGUAUAAAGUCUAACUUAAUCCUAAAUGAUGGGUCUUGUUUGACUAAAGUUCUGGAAUGUCUAGCUAUCCUGGGAUACUUGAGUCCUACCUGCUUUCUCUGCCUUUUAAACACAUACCUGAGUCUACUUCGUAAUGUGAUGAAGCACAGAACAUAUGGUUACCUGUACAAGUUUAGGUACAGAGACUUUGUGGAUAGUUCUAAAUUAAUGUCUAAAUUCAGUCCUUUGUUGAAUAAAUAUAUGUGGAACAUC